rnacentral:tRNA from 1 species
GCCGGAAUAGCUCAGUGGGU